UCCUCCCGUGCAGCCUCCUGGUCGCUCUCCGGCAAGGGUGCCGUGAGGCCGAGAAACGUUAGUGUGGCUUUGGCUUCACAGCGCAGGCUUGAAUGUGAGCUCUGAGCCGUGUGGGUUCCUGCAUUUCUGACAUGAGAUGGGCCCGUGGGGUCUCUUCCUUCAGCUAAGGAGAGCGGAAAGGUCUCUCUACAGGCAAAACCUGUUCGUGGCUUGACGCUUCCGAUCAGAUUGAUCCAAUCAGCAGCACCCAAGAGCUCCCCAGCUUUCAGAGGGAGAGAUGAUGUUUUGUUUCAGAUGGCAGUUUUGUGGAGAAUUUUGAACAAAGAGAAAGAUUGAGUCAAGUGCACUUAAACUUUAUUAAAAUAAUGAAAAUAUUAA